GGAUAGCUCAGUUGGUAGAGCAUGGGACACUUAAUCUCAGGGCCGUGUGUCUGAGCCCCACAUUGGGUGGAAUA